rnacentral:rRNA from 1 species
UGGGGAAUAUUGGACAAUGGGCGAAAGCCUGAUCCAGCCAUGCCGCGUGUGUGAAGAAGGUCUUCGGAUUGUAAAGCACUUUAAGUUGGGAGGAAGGGCAGUAAGUUAAUACCUUGCUGUUUUGACGUUACCGACAGAAUAAGCACCGGCUAACUUCGUGCCAGCAGCCGCGGUAAUACGAAGGGUGCAAGCGUUAAUCGGAAUUACUGGGCGUAAAGUGCGCGUAGGUGGUUUGAUAAGUUGGAUGUGAAAGCCCCGGGCUCAACCUGGGAAUUGCAUCCAAAACUGUCUGACUAGAGUAUGGCAGAGGGUGGUGGAAUUUCCUGUGUAGCGGUGAAAUGCGUAGAUAUAGGAAGGAACACCAGUGGCGAAGGCGACCGCCUGGGCUAAUNCUGACACUGAGGUGCGAAAGCGUGGGGAGCAAACAAGGAUUAGAUACCCUGGUAGUCCACGCCGUAAACGAUGUCGACUAGCCGUUGGGAUCCUUGAGAUCUUAGUGGCGCAGCUAACGCAUUAAGUCGACCGCCUGGGGAGU